rnacentral:rRNA from 1 species
GUCUAUGGCCAUGCCACCCUAAAUAUGCCCGAUCCCAGCUGAUCUCGGAAGAUAAGCAGGGUCGGGCCUGGUUAGUACUUGGAUGGAAGACCACCUAGGAAGACUGGGUGCUAUAGGUG